rnacentral:rRNA from 1 species
UACAGAGGGUGCGAGCGUUGUCCGGAAUCACUGGGCGUAAAGGGCGCGUAGGUGGCUUUUUAAGCGUGCGGUGAAAGCCCGGGGCUCAACCCCGGGUCGGCCGUGCGAACUGGGAAGCUCGAGCACUGUAGAGGCGGGUGGAAUUCCGGGUGUAGCGGUGGAAUGCGUAGAGAUCCGGAAGAACACCGGUGGCGAAGGCGGCCCGCUGGGCAGUGGCUGACACUGAGGCGCGACAGCGUGGGGAGCAAACAGG